CUCCCCGUAGUUCAACCGGAUAGAAUAGGGCCCUCCUAAGGCUUAGAUAGGGGUUCGAGUCCUCUCGGGGAGGCCA
rnacentral:tRNA from 3 species